UCUGUAUAUUUCACACUAUUUUUUAUUGAACAUUGUGUUUUGAAAAAUACAUCACUAGUCAAUUGCAACCUCAAGUUAAUGUAGACUUUAAGGAACUUGUUUGUCUGAAAGUGGAUAUAUAAAGAUUUUUUGUUUUAAGAUGCUGCAUGGAAUGACAAUGUGGUUUGGAACAGACUUGGUGAAGAACAUGGAAACAUCUCUUAAUAAAAUGGCCCCAAACAUCAUCAGGAGUGCAAAAGAAGGAAGUAAAAACAUCUCUACGCCAAUCUCAUUGGAGAGGAAACCACAGAAGGUCUGGUGAGGAAUGCUGCACUUAUGUUAUUGCAAGCAUUAUUUCAAGAAAAUCCCAGCUUCCUUUACUGUGUAAAUAGUGAACCCAAAGGUCCCACACCAACCAUAGUGUUCAACGGCUCUCCUGAUCUUUUCAAAUCUGAAUGUAUCAACUUUAUAAUGGACAAUGUGAACUUAAUAUGUGGAAGACAUUGACAUCACAGGCUGUGGAAUGACUGUGUCACAGGUCGGAGAAGCGGACCGCCCCUGUCGCGGAUCACGCUCCUCCUAGUUCCACCUCGAGGAGGUCCCAAAGCACCCCAAUGACCAGACAAACCAGAGGGGGAGUAUUACGGGGCCAGGGACGUUGGAGGGGUUUCCACGUGACUCCAGCUGGAACACCGCUACAGAGCGUAUCUGGGUGGGUUGGGCACACACCGUCGCGGCGGCCCCUGAUGGCAUCCACAAGGGUCCAAGACCCUCCUAAGCUCCUAGCCGUAGCAGAACUACGUAUUUCAGCACCCGAAGGACUAACAACCCAGCCGGCAUCUGCAGCGUAUAUCCAACGCGAUCAAACUUCACUCUGACAAGUAACUUCCUAUACACAACCACGCCGUCCUUUUGCCCGGACCAGCCCCGCACUCUUUCCGCCUGCUACCUAGCGGUCGCCGGAUCAGCAGAGCCUGCGGACUCUUCGGAGGCUGGUCUUCGUUGUGCUGCCCAAGGCGGAAGUUGACUCGCCCGAAAAUCGACCCUUCCAGUAACUUCUACCUUCUCUCUUUAUAUCCUCCUCCCAGGCGUGGCUCGCCCAACCAUCGCUCGCCACGUCACUCACACAGCUGUACCUUGUUUCAGCGAGUGCGGGGAUUCCCGGGGAACCCUGAAGUGCCGGUGUCUGUACAAACCGGUCCGGGCGGAACCUCUUCACUCUCCUUUUGGUUCCGCCUCGCAUAGUCACUCCGUGACAACUGUUUGCGUUUUUUUUUCUCCUCAAUGUUCAAUACCCUUUUGCCAUUAAGCACACAGUGACUUUAAUUUAUAAAAUAUAUGCUUAAGUUUUAAUACCUGUACAAAACAAAUGUACAAUCAACUUGUGUAAAUUUUAAUAAAAAUUUAAGCUUUAAUUGCUUGUUCAUGUUAGUUCAGAGUGCAUUAACUAAUGUUAACAAGAUUUUAAUAAAGUAAUUGUUGAAAUUAACAUUAACAAAGAUUAAUAAAGGCUGUAUAAGUGCAGUUCAUUAUUAGUUCAUGUUAACUAAUGUAGCUAACUAAUGUUAACUAAUGAACCUUAUUGUAAAGUGUUACCUUGAUUUCUUUUCAUCAUUUCAGACACAUGUAAAAGUUACUAAAAAUUAAUACUGCAUAUACUGUACAGUAUCUAUGCGUAAGGGAAAUAACUUAAACAAAAUUUUUAAUGUAUAGUGUAAUUAAGAGUUUAGCUGUUUAAUACAGAGAUGCAAUUUAUUUAUAUAUAUUAUUUAUAUAUAAACGUAUGUAUGUUUAUUAAAAAGUGAAAAUGCUUAAUGGAAAAA